UAGCAUGUGCGCGAGUCAUUGGGACUUGCUAAACCUAAAGGCGUAAUGAAAGUGAAGGCCCGCCUUGCGCGGGCCGAGGGAGGAUGGGUGGCGUCACGACGCCGCCCCGCACUCCCGGGGCGUCUCAUUCUCAUUGCGAGAAGAGGCGCACCCAGAGCGUACACGCUGGGACCCGAAAGAUGGUGAACUAUGCCUGGUCAGGACGAAGUCAGGGGAAACCCUGAUGGAGGUCCGUAGCGAUUCUGACGUGCAAAUCGAUCGUCGGAACUGGGUAUAGGGGCGAAAGACUAAUCGAACCAUCUAGUAGCUGGUUCCCUCCGAAGUUUCCCUCAGGAUAGCUGGCGCUCGCUUUGCGAGUCUCAUCCGGUAAAGCGAAUGAUUAGAGGCAUUGGGGUCGAAACGGCCUCAACCUAUUCUCAAACUUUAAAUGGGUGAGAUCUCCGGCUUGCUCGAACUUGAAGCCGCGAGAUAUUACAAGGAUCAGAGUGCCAAGUGGGCCACUUUUGGUAAGCAGAACUGGCGCUGUGGGAUGAACCAAACGCAGAGUUAAAGCGCCUAAAUCGACGCUUAUGGGAUACCAUGAAAGGCGUUGGUAACU
rnacentral:rRNA from 1 species